AUGAACGCUAGCUACAGGCUUAACACAUGCAAGUCGAGGGGUAGCAGGGUAGCAAUACCGCUGACGACCGGCGCACGGGUGAGUAACACGUAUCCAACUUCCCAUAACUCAGGGAUAGCCUUUCGAAAGAAAGAUUAAUACCUGAUAGUACUUUUUCAAGGCAUCUUGAGAAAGUUAAAGAUUUAUUGGUUAUGGAUGGGGAUGCGUUCCAUUAGAUAGUUGGUGAGGUAACGGCUCACCAAGUCUUCGAUGGAUAGGGGUUCUGAGAGGAAGGUCCCCCACAUUGGUACUGAGACACGGACCAAACUCCUACGGGAGGCAGCAGUGAGGAAUAUUGGUCAAUGGGCGAGAGCCUGAACCAGCCAAGUAGCGUGAAGGAUGAAGGUCCUAUGGAUUGUAAACUUCUUUUAUAGUAGAAUAAAGUGAUCCACGUGUGGAUUUUUGUAUGUAUACUAUGAAUAAGGAUCGGCUAACUCCGUGCCAGCAGCCGC
rnacentral:rRNA from 1 species